rnacentral:rRNA from 1 species
CCGCCCGUCACAUCAUGGGAGUUGGUUUUACCUUAAGUCGUUGACUCAACCCGCAAGGGAGAGAGGCGCCCAAGGUGAGGCUGAUGACUAGGAUGAAGUCGUAACAAGGUAGCCCUACCGGAAGGUGGGGCUGGAUCACCUCCUUUU